rnacentral:rRNA from 1 species
UACGUAGGGACCAAGCGUUGUUCGGAUUUACUGGGCGUAAAGGGCGCGUAGGCGGCCUUUCAAGUGACGGGUGAAAGCCCUCGGCUUAACCGAGGAACUGCCUGUCAGACUGGAAGGCUUGAGACCGGGAGAGGUGAGUGGAAUUCCCAGUGUAGCGGUGAAAUGCGUAGAUAUUGGGAGGAACACCAGUGGCGAAGGCGGCUCACUGGACCGGUACUGACGCUGAGGUGCGAAAGCGUGGGGAGCGAACAGG